UACGGGGGGGGGCAAGCGUUGUUCGGAAUUACUGGGCGUAAAGGGCGCGUAGGCGGCCUGCUAAGUCACACGUGAAAUCCCUCGGCUCAACCGGGGAACUGCGUGUGAUACUGGCGGGCUGAAUCGGGAGAGGGGAAGCGGAAUUCCGGGUGUAGCGGUGAAAUGCGUAGAUAUCCGGAGGAACACCGUGGCGAAGGCGGCUUCCUGGACCACACUGACGCUGAGGCGCGAAAGCCAGGGGAGCGAACGGG
rnacentral:rRNA from 1 species